GGGGAGGAACGAGAGAGACGGAUCAGGUCAAGGCGAUCCAUAGGACUAGGAGCCGACCCGAAGGGGUCCGACUAUAAAGUGUCAGGGGAGACCUCUCGGUUUCCCUAAACCCUAGCUUCGCCUGUCGCCUCCUCUUUCUCUCUCUAUUUUCUCUCACCUUCUCCCGUCCUGCCAACUGCCGGUCAAAUGCACAAUGAUCCGACCUGUCAGAUCGACGAUCCGGCGUAGAUUUACCUUAAAGCCGGCCCCGAGCUUCCCAGAAGCGGUCUGGGAGCCGAGAUCUGGCUAGCCUCAGCCGCCGGCGACAGCUUGCCGGAGCAGUCAGACCCCAAGGUGGGUCACAAGGCCAAGACGACUCUGAUGGUCGGUUCCGAUCAUCGGAAUCUUGCAUGGACGGUGACCGGCGAUGCCCUUCCAGAAAUGGGAUCUUUUCACCAAAAGUUAAUAUUUAGAUCUAGCCGUUGGAUCGAUUCGGUUUUUGGAUAUGUUAAACCACCGCAGAGUGAGGGAACAUUAUGACCGGCUCCGAUCAAGUGAAUCAUUGGCCAGCGGUGGAUGACUGUGACCGGAAUCCCUAGGAUUAAUUCUUAGAUCUGACAGUUGAAUAUAGCCAUAUAGCCCCAUUUUGGUUAUAGUGGUCAGAUUCUCGAGGAAGCAGGCCGGCGGCGAGGUGAUUCCAGCCCUGGGUUUUUCUGGAUUGAGGGGUUUUUGUGCAAUUAGGAAAAAAUUUUAAGGUGCUGAAAUAAAAUAAAGAAAAGCCUGGUGUUUGCUGUUGGUUUUGUGCAAGUUUUUGAUUUUUGUGAAGUUUUGGAAAGGUUAAGGGUCUUGGUGAAAUUAAAAAAUAAGCUAGAUAGUAGAAAUAAUAAAUAUUUGUUUAAAAUUAUAUUCUUUAUUUUGUUUAAGAUAAAUCUAUCCCUAUAAUAUCCAAACCCAAAGACUAUGACCUGACCCAUCGCAUUACGCAUCGGGCAUUCUGCAAAUGGAAGGCGGCAAAAUCAUCACUUAGGGCUAAGUGAUGAAACUCAUUUAGGGCUUCUUGCUUCGGUGAACUGUUGCCCUGUGCUUCCAUUCUGAUUUCAUAUCUAAAGUCACGUUGUCGAUGCACCUCACAUGACUCGCAUAUUGUAACUCCCUCUAUUCGAAUUUUAGUUUAGUCUUAACUUUUCUUUUCCUCCAUUCCUCCCCUUCAUUGAGUGUGACUAUUGUUGGCAACCUGAGGCUUCUUUACUCUCUUGUAUGUAACUCAGUUUUUCUUCUUGGGCUGUGUUGUGUGCUCAGAGUAAAAGGUAUGGCCUAUUCUCAGAUUUGGCAUAGUUGAAGGUCCAAGAAAGUUUUGGUUCUGUCUGUCUUACAAGCCUGUGCUGGUUUUAGAUUGGUUACCUUUCGUUUAUUUUAUUUUUGUGUUAAGUGUUACACAAUCUAAACAUUUUACCUUUCAAAGAGAGGAAGCUCUUUACUUCUUUAUGUGUGCUUCGGUAAUUUACUUGUAACAUGGUUAAAAUCACUACAAUUUGAAACCUUCAAAGUGCAAUCUUGUCAAUUUCCAACUUGUUAUGGCGAGGGAAUAAGGCAAAUAGAGACUUCAGGGAACGAAGGACCUUUAUGAUUGGAUACGCUAUUCAUGUGAGAGUCAACAGCAGGUGCUGGUCAAUGGCAACCUGUCUGCCGCUUGGAGCCAAGAUUAGAUCCACCAGUUGAAGAUCCAUGGAACUCACUGUUGUUUCAUGACACAAUAUUCUGGUUAUACUACAAUGUUUGUUUUAAAUUCUGGUCUUGGUGAGCAAUUUAGAAAUUAGGAAUUUGUAACUUGUUGCUGUUUUUGGGGAUUAUGGAAUUUGUUUGUCUCCUUGUCUUUUGGGCGGCGCUGUGCUUGCGUACGUUGCAUAUUAUUACUAUGGCACUCAGUCAGACACGGGGGUUUUGUUCUCAAAACAAUAACAAACCACCUUUUGCAUGGUGCCUAUAAAUAGAUGGCUACUUUUCACGAUUGAGGUGUUGCUUCUUCUUGAGUGUUUCCUUCAAAUUUGAAGUAGCAAAAUUACUCUUUCAACUCCUUGUAUAUUCUUCUAAAUGCAAUGAUGAAUAAGCUAACAUGUAAGAAGAUGCCAUUUUAUGUGGUUUCUUCCAUGAAAUUUUUUGUUACGCUUGGCUUCUGAGCAUUCGUUGUAUGCAGUUUGUAAUUUGUCUUCUACAUAUGGUUUGGUGUUAGUUUUUAUCGUAUCCUAUUUGUAAGUUUGUUUUUGUUUUUCCUUUUUCUUUGCUGGAGUUUACCCUGGCUCUUUUUUAUUAAAAAACCGAGUACUUUUGGGAUAAGGUUUAGGUGCGUGCCUUGUGUUUAUAUUGGGAUUGAUUGCAUAUUCAAUUUUUUAAAUUAUUCUGUAAAUUCUUUCAUGAACAACCUUUUUGGCCCGCAAAAUUCCUGAUGUUUUGGGCCAUGUUGGAGUUGAUUUUCUGUUAUUUGUAGCUGAUUAUACCCUGAUUUAUGAGGAAUUUUGCAACCCCAAGAAUUCAACCCCAAAAUUCUAUGUCAUGACAGAAUUCAAUCCCAAUAUAACAGAGGUCAUUCUGAUUUAUGAGGAAUUUUGGAGUUGAAUUCUUGGGGUUGCAAAAUUCUAUGUCAUGAACACCCUGUUAUUUGUAGCUGAUUUAUGAGGUCAUUCUGAAUUCUUGGGGUUGCAAAAUUCCUCGCCUAGCUGCCAAAGCUUGCGAGGCAUUGAUGAUGUGUUUGUUGUGAAAAAGAAUUGCAGAGUGCUAGUUGGACAGCUUUAUUGACAGCCAAAAGGAUAUAAUUAGUUGUGAAUAUUGACUGAAAAGGUGAAUGCUUGUGAACGCUUGAAGGGAAGUUUUUAAAUUUUUGGGAAGAUUGAGAAUUUAUAUUUUCAUGUUUGGUAUUAUUUUUUUAAAUUCAUUUUUAAUCAACUUUCUUUUCAAUUUUUUUUAUUGAGAAUGUUGGAUUUUCAUAAAUUAUGUACAGUUUUUAACAAAUAGAAAAAUUAAAACACUUUAUUCUUUUAUAAUUUUAUCGUUCUUUCAUGAUUAUCUUCACGAUUAUUAGCUUCUUGUUCUGCUCUU